ACGGCUCAGUAACACGUAGUUAACCUACCCUCAGGACAGGGAUACCCCCGGGAAACUGGGGACAAUACGUGAUAGGCGGAAAGACCUGGAAUGGUCUUCCACUGAAAGGGUGUUGGAUACAUGCUUUCAACACUGCCUGAGGAUGGGACUGCGACCGAUCAGGUUGUUGGUGGGGUAACGGCCCACCAAGCCGAUAACCGGUACGGGCCCUGAGAGGGGGAGCCCGGAGAUGGGAACUGAGACAAGGUCCCAGGUCCUACGGGACGCAGCAGGCGCGAAACCUCCACAAUGCACGAAAGUGUGAUGGGGUUAUCCCGAGUGCUGUCCGAUGAGGAUGGCUUUUCCUCGGUGUAAAAAGCCGAGGGAAUAAAGGGGGGGCAAGACUGGUGUCAGCCGCCGCGGUAAUACCAGCUCCCUGAGUGGUAGGGAUGAUUAUUUGGCCUAAAGCGUCCGUAGCCGGCUUGGUCAGUCCUUCGUCAAAUCCAACGACUUAAUCGUUGGUCUGCGGAGGAUACUGCCAGGCUAGAGGACGGGAGAGGUUGACGGUAGUCCCGGGGUAGGGGUGAAAUCCAAUAAUCCUGGGAGGACCACCAGUGGCGAAGGCGGUCAACAAGAACGUGCCUGACGGUGAUGGACGAAAGCUGGGGGAGCGAACCGGAUUAGACACCCGGGUAGUCCCAGCCGUAAACGAUGCGGGCUAGGUGUUAGGGCAGCUACGAGCUGCUCUAGUGCCGCAGAGAAGUCGUUAAGCCCGCCGCCUGGGGAGUACGAUCGCAAGGUUGAAACUUAAAGGAAUUGGCGGGGGAGCACCACAAGGGGUGAAGCCUGCGGUUCAAUUGGAGUCAACGCCGGGAA
rnacentral:rRNA from 1 species